UACGAAGGGAGCUAGCGUUGUUCGGAAUUACUGGGCGUAAAGGGCGCGUAGGCGGUUCUGCAAGUUGGAUGUGAAAGCCCAGGGCUCAACCCUGGAAUUGCAUUCAAGACUGCAUUACUUGAAUUCGGUAGAGGUGAGUGGAAUUCCCAGUGUAGAGGUGAAAUUCGUAGAGAUUGGGAAGAACACCGGUGGCGAAGGCGGCUCACUGGACCGACAUUGACGCUGAGGCGCGAAAGCGUGGGGAGCAAACAGG
rnacentral:rRNA from 1 species